CCUACGGGGUGCAGCAGUAGGGAAUAUUGCUCAAUGGGGGAAACCCUGAAGCAGCAACGCCGCGUGGAGGAUGAAGGUUUUCGGAUCGUAAACUCCUUUUGUCAGAGAAGAUAAUGACGGUAUCUAACGAAUAAGCACUGGCUAACUCCGGGCCAGCAGCCGCGGUAAUACGGAGGGUGCAAGCGUUACUCGGAAUCACUGGGCGUAAAGGGCGCGUAGGCGGGAUAGCAAGUCAGAUGUGAAAUCCUAUGGCUUAACCAUAGAACUGCAUUUGAAACUGUUAUUCUAGAGUAUGUGAGAGGUAGGUGGAAUUCUUGGUGUAGGGGUAAAAUCCGUAGAGAUCAAGAGGAAUACUCAUUGCGAAGGCGACCUGCUAGAACAUAACUGACGCUGAUGCGCGAAAGCGUGGGGAGCAAACAGGAUUAGAUACCCUAGUAGUC
rnacentral:rRNA from 1 species